AGAUGGCGACCGGCGCACGGGUGAGUAACACGUAUCCAACCUGCCGAUAACUCGGGGAUAGCCUUUCGAAAGAAAGAUUAAUACCCGAUGGUAUAAUCAGACCGCAUGGUUUGAUUAUUAAAGAAUUUCGGUUAUCGAUGGGGAUGCGUUCCAUUAGGCAGUUGGUGAGGUAACGGCUCACCAAACCUUCGAUGGAUAGGGGUUCUGAGAGGAAGGUCCCCCACAUUGGAACUGAGACACGGUCCGA
rnacentral:rRNA from 1 species